UACGUAGGGGGCGAGCGUUGUCCGGAUUCAUUGGGCGUAAAGCGCGCGCAGGCGGCGGCGCGAGCCCGGCGUGAAAGCCCCCGGCUCAACCGGGGGAGGUCGUCGGGGACCGCGCGGCUAGAGGCCGGCAGGGGCGAGUGGAAUUCCCGGUGUAGUGGUGGAAUGCGUAGAGAUCGGGAGGAACACCAGUGGCGAAGGCGACUCGCUGGGCCGGUCCUGACGCUCAGGCGCGAAAGCGUGGGGAGCGAUCCGG
rnacentral:rRNA from 1 species